rnacentral:lncRNA from 1 species
AAUCUAGACAGAUUUUUAACCAUUUAGUAAUCUCUGAUUGGAUUAACAGGUUACCUGGAGUAACAGUUUGUGUUUCCCCAAAAGUUUGAGUGAAGAGCAAAAUAAACAUGUAUACAUAAAAGAAGUGGGGGGUUGACCUGUUGGGUACCUCAGUUCAACUUCUCAUUAAAAAGCCUGAUUGGAAACACCUGCCCGUAGGAAGGACCUAUAAAGACAGCAGCAUGUCCUAAACACGUAACUCAGAUGUACACUGGUGUUUGGUUGGAGUAGCUGGUGUGUGUGGACCUGUGGAAGUGUGAGUGCUUUGCAUGCACAGUCCAGCUGGAGGGUUUGUGAGGACAGUGAGUGCAGCUACUGGAGUCAUGGUUGCUCGGUUGUUAAUUGCAAGGUUUUUACUGCUUUAUGUUUUGAGUGAUGUGAACUAUUCCUCGGCUUUUCCAAGAGCCACAAGUUCUGUGCAGCCUAGAGCAUGGCAGGGUGGAAGAGGGGAACAAGAUGUGUAUGGAAAUCCUCGUCCUUUCCAGUACAUGAGGGCUCUGAGGCCGACGGAUCCAAUGAUCUACCCUAACGUGCGUGAUCAGGUUCAAGUCGAAUCCCCAACAUCAUAUCUUCCACGCUCUAAUAUUCCUACCCACAGACCCAUGGAAACAUCUCUGCUCCAGCCACGAGCACACAGAAACCAUCUUGUGGCCAAGCCCAGGAGCUUUAACAUAAGCCUGAGGAUUCCUUUUGCUCACACUCGUGAUGGUGCUUAUCGUCCUCGGUGGCCAGGAACAUCACGGUGGACGUCGACACAGGCCUGA